AUGCCUGACCUGGGUUUUAUGACAGAUGUCAAAUAUAUCGAAGUGUGUUGUGAAGCAGAUCGCCUUAUUGGCAAAGAAAUGAAAGACCACCAGGAAGAUAGAUGGGAAGCUUUCCUCCAGGGUUUUCUUGUCUCUUUGCACAGGUACCGCAGUGAACCUGAAGAAGUGCCAGUGGGCAGCUGGAAAAAGGGGCUUGGACUCCUGCCUCACAGAGUGGAGAAGAUUGAACGUAACAGUGUCCUUAUGCUUGCCCCAAAGAUUACACACAGAAACGAUAAAGGGGGAGGCGACCACCACCCCACUGUUUACCUUCUAGCUCAUGAAGACUGCUUUUUCAGUGCUUACAGCGUUCCGUGGAUCUCACAGUGGAAAAUACUGCUUUAGGGUAGAGGCAGCUGGCGGCCUUCUUCAAGAAGUGAAUGACUUGUACUUCAGAAAGAAACUUUAGGCAUCUAGGAGGAAGAAUGCCAGUGGCAAGAGACUGGGUGCAAAGUAACCUGUACGCAGGAUGUUCAAUCUUCCAGGCAAAAGAAAACCAGGAUCAGACUGAAGGCACCGAAGACGUAAAGGAGGAGAUGGAACUGAAAGAUGCUUAGCAGGUGGAAUGGAUCCUCUGUGACCGUAUGGAGGGUGAAUGAGAAAAAAGAUCUGAGGGUGAUUCCCUAGUUUCUAGUUGGAAGCUUGGUAGCAAAGAGAAAUGUUGGUAGAAGAUGAGAAAAAUAAUUUAAUUUAGGAUGUGAUGUAAAUUGAGAUGUCUGUAAGACCUAUAGAUAGAGCUGGUCAACUCAGCCAAGAAUCAGAGAUACUAAUCUAUAGCUCAAGACACCCAUGAGUAUAAUUUUAUCUUUCUGUGGUGCUUCAGAUGACUCUUUAUUAUCUAGCAGUGUCUUACAGGUCAUCCUAAUUAAGUGUUGCUUGACCAUAAACGUAGAACGACGCAGGUUAGAGAGAGCUGUGUUUAAAACAAAGCCAAAUACAAAUUAUUGGUGAACUAUAUUUAUUGAGAUACUGGUGUGUGCCUAGCACAGCAACAGUGUGUAAGGAAAAAACAAGCAAACAAAAAAUAAAGAUAAAUAAAUAAAUAAGAAAAAGAAAAAG
rnacentral:lncRNA from 1 species